rnacentral:rRNA from 1 species
GACGAACGCUGGCGGCGUGCCUAAUACAUGCAAGUCGAGCGCAGGAAGCCGACGGAACCCUUCGGGGGGAGGUCGACGGAAUGAGCGGCGGACGGGUGAGUAACACGUAAAGAACCUGCCCUCAGGUCUGGGAUAACCACGAGAAAUCGGGGCUAAUACCGGAUGGGUCAUCGGACCGCAUGGUCCGAGGAUGAAAGGCGCUCCGGCGUCGCCUGGGGAUGGCUUUGCGGUGCAUUAGCUAGUUGGUGGGGUAAUGGCCCACCAAGGCGACGAUGCAUAGCCGACCUGAGAGGGUGAUCGGCCACACUGGGACUGAGACACGGCCCAGACUCCUACGGGAGGCAGCAGUAGGGGAUCUUCCACAAUGGACGAAAGUCUGAUGGAGCAACGCCGCGUGAACGAUGAAGGCCUUCGGGUCGUAAAGUUCUGUUGUAAGGGAAGAACAAGUGCCGCAGGCAAUGGCGGCACCUUGACGGUACCUUGCGAGAAAGCCACGGCUAACUACGUGCCAGCCGCCGCGGUAACAC